AACGUAGGACACAAGCGUUAUCCGGAGUUACUGGGCGUAAAGGGCGUUUAGGCGGGUGAUUAAGUUCGCUAUGAAAGCGCCGGGCUAAACUCGGCGAGGCUGGCGGAUACUGGUCAUCUGGAGUGAGUCAGAGGAAGGUAGAAUUCCGCGUGUAGUGGUGAAAUGCGUAGAUAUCUGGAGGAACACCGGUGGCGAAGGCGACGUCCUGGACCGGCAUUGACGCUGAGGCGCGAAAGCCAGGGGAGCAAACGGG
rnacentral:rRNA from 1 species